GGGCCCAUAGUUCAGUGGUAAAAUAUCUCUAUGGCAUAGAGAAGUCGCGAGUCCGACUCUCGCUGGGUCCA
rnacentral:tRNA from 1 species